CCUACGGGAGGCAGCAGUGGGGAAUAUUGGGCAAUGGGCGCAAGCCUGAACCAGCAAAGCCGCGUGAAGGAAGAAGGCUUUCGGGUUGUAAACUUCUUUUAAGAGGGAAGAGAAGAAGACGGUACCUCUUGAAUAAGCCACGGCUAACUACGUGCCAGCAGCCGCGGUAAUACGUAGGUGGCAAGCGUUGUCCGGAUUUACUGGGUGUAAAGGGCGUGCAGCCGGGAAGUCAAGUCAGAUGUGAAAUCCCGCGGCUCAACCGCGGAACUGCAUUUGAAACUGUUUUUCUUGAGUACCGGAGAGGUCAGCGGAAUUCCUUGUGUAGCGGUGAAAUGCUUAGAUAUAAGGAAGAACACCAGUUGCGAAGGCAGAUGACUGGACGGCAACUGACGGUGAGGCGCGAAAGCGUGGGUAUCAAACAGGAUUAGAUACCCUAGUAGUC
rnacentral:rRNA from 1 species